CCUACGGGCGGCAGCAGUGAGGAAUAUUGGUCAAUGGCCGGAAGGCUGAACCAGCCAUGCCGCGUGAAGGUCAGUGCCCUAUGGGCGUUAAACUUCUUUUGUGCGGGAGCAAUAAUGGUCACGUGUGGCCAGACGAGAGUACCGUACGAAUAAGCAUCGGCUAACUCCGUGCCAGCAGCCGCGGUAAUACGGGGGAUGCAAGCGUUAUCCGGAUUUAUUGGGUUUAAAGGGUGCGUAGGGUGUGAGGUAAGUCAGCGGUGAAAUGCCCCCGCUCAACGGGGUGAAGUGCCAUUGAUACUGCCUGGCUGGAAUGCGGAUACGGUGGGAGGAAUGUGUGGUGUAGCGGUGAAAUGCAUAGAUAUCACACAGAACACCGAUUGCGAAGGCAUCUCACGAAUCCGCGAUUGACGCUGAUGCACGAAAGCGUGGGUAUCAAACAGGAUUAGAUACCCUAGUAGUC
rnacentral:rRNA from 1 species